ACAAGGUACUAUAGCGAGGGGAUCCACGUUGGAUCCCCAGUUGACUCAUCAGUCAACACUAUGUGGGAACAACAUGGCCAUCCAUUGGCCUUAGUAUGUACACUUGUUAGCAAAUGAAAAAGCAAAGGAAAUGGGAUUAAAACAUGAGACCAAGAGAGAACGGAUUCAUUUGAAACGUUUUACUUUCUCUCUUCUCAAACACUUUGCAACCUUUCUUUUCCAACCCCCCACCUCUGAUCUUCUUGAACCUUCAUCCUUUCCAGAGAAGGGCGGCGGUCGGCGGCAGCGCCUCCGUCCUCUCCGGCAACCUACCACCACCAAAAAAAACCUAAACACUAGUCUAACUUAAAUUAGCCCCUCUUUUCGAAUCUUCCCUUAUUUUCUUUCAAAACCUCACCAAUUGGAGGGAUCGGACCAUCACAACCCUUAAUCAGCCAAAACUCAAAAUAAGCCCUAUUUUACUGUCAAAUCUCUUCAACAUACCAAAAGUCCACCAUCAAUAUUUAAGUAAAAAUGAAAACAGAAACGAGUACGACUCGAAAAAGUUUUAUUCUACACAAAACAAGUUAAUUAGUAUGUGUUAUCAGAGGGAAAAAUUUAGUGUAUAAGACAAAACAACAUUCAACAACUUAUUUUAUCAUGCUUUCAAGUAUGGAUUGAGUUAAAGAAGGAAAAUAUAUCGUCCGAAUGUUACCGGAGAGACGAAUCCCCUAGGUGUUAUAUGGUGAUGCUCAUGAGGGAGGCAAUGCGUGAAUUCAAAAACCCAAUUUACUUGUUAUUAUUAUUUUUUACCUGUACUUAUGGAUGCAAUAUAAAACUUGAGACAAAAAAAAAAUGUAUACAAUUUUUGUACUUCUGUUUAUCAUAAAAAAUGUAAUUAAUUCUAACAAUCAAACUUAUCAAAUA